AUUGAACGCUGGCGGCAGGCCUAACACAUGCAAGUCGAGCGGAGGAAGGGAGCUUGCUCCUGGAUUCAGCGGCGGACGGGUGAGUAAUGCCUAGGAAUCUGCCUGGUAGUGGGGGAUAACGUCCGGAAACGGGCGCUAAUACCGCAUACGUCCUGAGGGAGAAAGUGGGGGAUCUUCGGACCUCACGCUAUAAGAUUAGCCUAGGUCGGAUUAGCUAGUUGGUGGGGUAAAGGCCUACCAAGGCGUCGAUCCGUAACUGGUCUGAGAGGAUGAUCAGUCACACUGAAACUGAGACACGGUCCAGACUCCUACGGGAGGCAACAGUGGGAAAUAUUGGACAAUAGGCGAAAGCCUGAUCCAGCCAUGCCGCGUGUGUGAAGAAGGUCUUCAGAUUGUAAAGCACUUUAAGUUGGGAGAAAGGUCAGUAAGUUAAUACCUUGCUGUUUUAACGUUACCAACAGAAUAAGCACCGGCUAACUUCGU
rnacentral:rRNA from 1 species